rnacentral:tRNA from 1 species
CGCGGCGUAGCUCAAAGGUAGAGCGUUCGCUUGAUAAGCGAUUGACGAUUGGUUCGAUUCCAUCCGCCGCGACCA